AUUUCACUUUCCAACCAGCUCAUUGAAAGGCUCAAACGCCGUUUCUGAAAAAAUAAAAAGGGUGGCCAUAAGUUCAAGAUAAUUAACAGCUGCUCUGUUUCUGUAUGGCAGAAUAUAGUUCCAUAUGUUCAAAACAUAAAUUGAAAAAGGAGUGCGCCGCCCGGGAAUCGAACCCGGGUCGCAAGAAUGGGAAUCUUGCAUGAUACCACUACACCAGCGGCGCUCACGCCCACAACAGCAGAGAAGUCGAUCUUAAAUGAUCUACAAUUUGCCUGUGGAACGUUCAGUGUAUUGAUUUACAUAUUCAACCGUACUUGAGCAGAAGAAAGAAAUGGCGGAAGCCUCAUCGAAUCGUAGGCCACGAAGAAGAAGAGACGACGUUUCUGCAGGAAACAUGGCGACUCCCGCGGGCUGUGAGCAUUACGUUCGCAACUGUUUGUUAAAAGCACCGUGCUGUGGUAAGCUAUAUGUGUGCCGGCUGUGCCAUGAUGCAGAGGAAACCCAUCAGAUGGAUCGAUUUAAAGUGAAGGA